CACGGAGGGUGCAAGCGUUAUCCGGAUUCACUGGGUUUAAAGGGUGCGUAGGUGGGUUGGUAAGUCAGUGGUGAAAUCUCCAGGCUUAACUUGGAAACUGCCAUUGAUACUAUCAAUCUUGAAUACCGUGGAGGUCAGCGGAAUAUGUCAUGUAGCGGUGAAAUGCUUAGAUAUGACAUAGAACACCAAAUUUGCGAAGGCAGCUGGCUACACGAAUAUUGACACUGAUGCACGAAAGCUGGGGAUCAAACAGG
rnacentral:rRNA from 1 species